rnacentral:rRNA from 1 species
CCUCCUACGGGAGGCAGCAGUAGGGAAUCUUCCGCAAUGGACGAAAGUCUGACGGAGCAACGCCGCGUGAGUGAUGAAGGUUUUCGGAUCGUAAAGCUCUGUUGUUAGGGAAGAACAAGUACCGUUCGAAUAGGGCGGUACCUUGACGAUACCUAACCAGAAAGCCACGGCUAACUACGUGCCAGCAGCCGCGGUAAUACGUAGGUGGCAAGCGUUGUCCGGAAUUAUUGGGCGUAAAGGGCUCGCAGGCGGUUUCUUAAGUCUGAUGUGAAAGCCCCCGGCUCAACCGAGGAGGGUCAUUGGAAACUGGGGAACUUGAGUGCAGAAGAGGAGAGUGGAAUUCCACGUGUAGCGGUGAAAAGCGUAGAGAUGUGGAGGAACACCAGUGGCGAAGGCGACUCUCUGGUCUGUAACUGACGCUGAGGAGCGAAAGCGUGGGGAGCGAACAGGAUUAGAAACCCUGGUAGUCCACGCCGUAAACGAUGAGUGCUAAGUGUUAGAGGGUUUCCGCCCCUUAGUGCUGCAGCUAACGCAUUAAGCACUCCGCCUGGGGAGUACGGUCGCAAGACUGAAACUCAAAGGAAUUGACGGCGGCCCGCACAAGCGGUGGAGCAUGUCGUUU